rnacentral:misc_RNA from 1 species
AACAAAAUUAUAAUUUUUAUCGUAGUUUGUGUCCGAGAGGCUGCAGGGUCCAAGUACAACUUCUAGUUGCAAUUCUUUUACCAUGUAGCGCAGUCGAAUAAGGCAGCGUAUGGGAUGCUCUCGGACGUAGGUUCGAACCCUCUUCACGCCUUUGUGAAUUUGUUCAUUUGAUGCAUCACGCUAUUGUGAUUUGUGUGUGUAGUGUGAUAAGUAGUCUGCACUGGAUGGUCAGAUACACAGGAUGCUCUCAGGAUGGUCAGAUACACAGGAUGGUCAGAUAUACAGGGUUCAGUAGCCUGAAGUGGCACAUUUUGAGUACAUUAUGAGUAUCUUUUAAAACACAAGUUCACCCAACAGUGGAUGACUAUCACCGGGUUGUUGAACAAUUUGGCUAGUAAAGUUCAUGUUUAUUUAUUGAGACAAGAAAGAAAUACAUCUCAAAGGGAUAGUUGCCUAGGCUUUCUACCACCCUACUUUGGUGGAUCGUAUAACGGGGGAAAAUUUCGAAUUAAGGACCUGCCUGAAAUGCUAUGCGUGCUGGUGGCUUUACGAAUGUCUUAACUCCUGUGUAUAAAUAAAUAAAAUAUUUUGAUAUUGCUCGCUUUGGUGCCUACUUUUGAUAAUUAUUUUGGUGCUUUAAUUUUUAUUUAUGUUGUAUAUUACAGAUUAAUUGUAAACCAAAAAAAUGACGUACCAGAUUAGAGUGAUAUGGAUGAGGUGUCCUCCCCGCCUAUGGAUGGGGGUACUCGUGUAGUGGUUGGGCCCAAAGAACUGGUGGGUAACGCAUUCAUAGUGGCGGGGCCCGUCUGACCCCCCCAACUCCACAGGGGGUUGGACGUUCAGACAAAAUCUGGUAGUGGUACAGGUGGUGGACGCGUUCCGUACAUAUCGUAUCGUACGUCUUUCCGCUCUGGGCUCUAGUUAGCUGUCGGUACCAGUCCUGUCCACACACUGUACAGUGUACUUCUUCACUAUAGCAGCCCUGCGUCACUACAGCAGUCCUGCGUCAGUACAUCAGCCUUUCCUCAAUAGCAGCCCUGCGUCAUUUGUCACUACAGCUGCCAGACUACAAUGAUGUAGAACACCACCUACAGGCAGCUAAGUACACGGAGUCCAAGCAUGUAUAUCAUAACCCAUCAACAGAAACCAACCCAAUCAACUCUCUCCAUCGCAAAUGCAAUUCAUAACAAUCCUCUCCUGCUGUGAUUACCAGCAGGUACAGUGCCUGCUGUCCGCCUCUGUGCUGCCAGACUCUAGUUUUCGCUACAACAUAUUCCCCAUACCAUACUCAACCAACCAUGUCUUUCAAAAGCAAGGUUGCGCAGGGAAAAAAGAAUCUCCAAAUAAGGCACCCAUCAAGAACAACACCGACAGCAUCGUUUUUCGCCCUCUGGGGUCUGUGGCGGCGACGCUGCUUUCCCUUCUACUCCACCACUGAGCCAGGGGGCUGUGUCCUCUCAAUCUGCUGCAAAUUCCCCGCUAGCAUCCCACUUCUCGCACCCACAACAGCAGCACUUCAAGCGUGCUGCUGGUCCCUCACCAGAUUUCCAAACAAAUCUGGAAUCAAAACCAAGGUGUGAUCCAUCAGUGCUUUGCUAGAGAUAGCAUGAUAAAACUAAGGAAAACUUCUAGAUAAAUAUUUUACAAUUGCAAAUGAGGAUAACCUCAACACAUUCUUCACCCAAUGUGGUUUGUCUCACCUGACUAACCCUAUCAGUGCCUCAUUUUAAUUAACCCCCUCGUCACCAAGUGCAGGCUUGGUAACCUAGGUUUUAUUGUUAAUUAAGUUGCCUAGCCUCUCCAUACUCCCUUGCUCCAUUGUACCCUGACUUUGUCUAUGUUCCUUAGUGCAAACUAUUACUUUUAUUACUUUUAUUACCGAGUGUACCUCAAAGCAGUCUACCUCAUUUUUGUAUAUUGCAACUUUAGUAAUCUUAGUAAUUUUCUUAAGUUAAAAUUGUUGCUGCUCUAUUUUACCUUGUUCCAUUGAACCCUGGCUAUGCCUGUGUUCUCUAGUGUAAACUGUUACUCUCAGUGUACUUGAGUGUACCUCAAAGUAAACCACCUCAUUUUUUUCUUGUGUAAUUUUAGUAAUUUUAUUAAGUUUUGUGUUUCAUAGUCAUUCCUGAUUGGAUCCCUUUUUACCUAUCUAUUUUUCACUUGUUCCUAUUUUAUUUGCAUUUCAUUUUUUUUAGAUAUAUGCAAGAGUUGUUACAUUCUUGUACAGCCACUAGUACGCCUAGCGUGGUUGCGCUCUAGCUGCCGUGAGGUGAGGACGCAUCGCCUGACCUCUCUGGUAGUUUGGGGUGUUUGCCGUUUUCGGCGAAAGGGGGUGUGGGUGUCUCUACCCUCCCUGCUGUUCCUGGCUGGAGUGGACGUGGCACUUUUGACAUGGGUGGCCAUCUUUCCCCUGUUGUGAGGGUAAAUUCCAUGGGUUUGGAGUUUACGGAGCAUGCAGGUUAUCCUGUAGUGGAGGUGGUCAUGUGUGACAUGCUCCGUAUCCCGGUCGAGGAUAUCUACAGAGUGGAGCUAGUAACUGCUCACCGUGUGGUUAUCAAGUUUGUGGGGAAGCGGCGUACCGUGACUUUCUCCGGUGGUACGAGGGAAGUACCUUGCGGCUGCCGAAUGGCACCGGAUCUGUGUCUAUAUAGGAUCGCAGCGGUGCUAUGACGUACGUGAGUGUCCAUGGGGCCCCCCAUGGAGUUUCCUGAGACGCUCCUCCGGCGAUUCUUCCAGCGGUUUGGCACCGUUGUCAGUGUGCGGAUGCACUCGCUGUCUUCUGGCUAGUAUGCGGAGGUGAAGAUCAAUAUUCUUACCCUGGGGAUGCGACCGCGUGUUGGACAUUCCCUCCUCUGUCCGGCUUUUAGGGUACUACGUAUGGGUGUACUAUGCACGGCAACCGCGAACUGUUUUUCGUUGUGGCCUGUUGGGCUAUCAAGCUGCCGGGUGCACUGAGGAAUGCGGUUGCUCCCGUGAACAUGUUCAAAGAAGAGGAUUUCCCGCCGCUCCCUCUGGAGGAGGACUCCGGGGGUGAGGAGGUGAGUGUCCCGUUGGAUGCCGCGGCUCCCCCUGCACCGCCUGUCCUGCCUUCGGUUGUUGAAGACCCUCCUCCGGGUGUUGCCAUGCCGUCGGAUGUGCUUCCUGGUCCCGUUGCUGUCCCCGCUGCUCCCAGUGACCUUCCAGGUGCUCUCUAUGCGUUGUCGGCACUCUCCUCUUCCUCUGCUCCUGCGCCUGGCCUUGCGCCCUUGUUACAAAAAUGGAUGAGGGGCUUCUAUGGGGUACUGGUACUAUUAAGGGGUAAGGGUAGUUAGAAGACAAGAGUAUCAAAUAUGGGAGAGCUAAAAGGCCCGGCCCCCAAAAUAAACUA